rnacentral:lncRNA from 1 species
CCCUCUUAGGUAUUCUGAUUUCAAAGCCAUCGGUCCUUGCCAGUGCACAGUGGGCUGAAAUCUUGUUGAAGGUUUUAAAUGUGUAAUGCAUUUUGUGGCGACCCAACUCCUUCAUAACUUUAUGACACUUGUGCUGUAUGGCAGCAAAUUAGAUCACAUCACUGAGUGUGACUGCAGACUAACUCAGAGCCAGUAGCAAAGUAAGUCGCUGCAAACACAGAAAAAAGGCGCAAAAUAUCUUAGCCUUAUAGCACAAAAUGAAAAAAA